rnacentral:lncRNA from 1 species
CGCGUAAGCGCUGAUGACGUUGAGGACGCAGCCCCCAAUAACCAACUUAAUUGACAUUAACAUAUCAUUCACUCGCUUAACCUCGACCACGGACUCCCUUAGAUCCCUAUCAACCAAGAUGCCCACUCCAUUCUUACCUUUCACGACUCAAGAAUACCACAGCUUAAACCCGUCUACAUUCCUCGCAUUCGACCCAUUCCACCUAGUCUCCUGGAUACAGGCUAUGUUAACCCUCCUCUUCUGAAGAACCUUCGCCAUCUCAAUGGACUUACCCGUCAGAGUGC